GUUGGUGUGUCUUGUCAUCAUAUAGCGAUUGAAAUGAGUGCUUCACUUCGGAGGAACCUUAAUGCGCAUGCAGUUAUUGCGAGAAUAUAAAGAUUCAGACGUUGGCUAAAAGGAAAGGCGUGAAACGGACGCGCCCCUUUAGUAGUUGCAAAAAGAAUCUUCUUGCUGGAUUAAAUUACAAAAGCCGAAAGAGACAGCAGGAAAAGUGCGGCUGCCGUGCAAAUCCAUAUAUUGUCAGAAGUCCAGAUUACGGCAAUGUUUGAGUCUGACAGAAGGUGAAAGACAGUGGGUUUUCGAAAAAUUUUGGAAAAUGGAAUCGUGGUCUGGAAAACGUUUCUAUGUCAGGGUUUUAUUAUCGAAGGUUCCCACCAAGCAAGCGAAAAUUGCUGAAAAUAUGUCGAGAAGUAAGUCAUCUUUUGAAUACCGUUUAUGAUUACAAAAAUGAAUAUGCAUUCUGGUGUGCGAAAAACUGUUUUCGGCUACAAUUGGCAUUAGCCAACGAACUGUGUAGUCGUGGCUGUAAAGUCUGGCACCAUUCAUAAAGUUUUUGGACCCGCAUCG